rnacentral:rRNA from 1 species
UGUUGGAGGGUUUCCGCCCUUCAGUGCCGCAGCUAACGCAUUAAGCAUUCCGCCUGGGGAGUACGACCGCAAGGUUGAAACUCAAAGGAAUUGACGGGGGCCCGCACAAGCGGUGGAGCAUGUGGUUUAAUUCGAAGCAACGCGAAGAACCUUACCAGGUCUUGACAUCUUUUGAUCACCUGAGAGAUCAGGUUUCCCCUUCGGGGGCAAAAUGACAGGUGGUGCAUGGUUGUCGUCAGCUCGUGUCGUGAGAUGUUGGGUUAAGUCCCGCAACGAGCGCAACCCUUAUGACUAGUUGCCAGCAUUUAGUUGGGYACUCUAGUAAGACUGCCGGUGACAAACCGGAGGAAGGUGGGGAUGACGUCAAAUCAUCAUGCCCCUUAUGACCUGGGCUACACACGUGCUACAAUGGAUGGUACAACGAGUUGCGAGACCGCGAGGUCAAGCUAAUCUCUUAAAGCCAUUCUCAGUUCGGACUGUAGGCUGCAACUCGCCUACACGAAGUCGGAAUCGCUAGUAAUCGCGGAUCAGCACGCCGCGGUGAAUACGUUCCCGG